AGAGUGAACGCUGGCGGCAGGCCUAACACAUGCAAGUCGAACGGCAGCACGAGAGAGCUUGCUCUCUUGGUGGCGAGUGGCGGACGGGUGAGGAAUACGUCGGAAUCUGCCUUUUUGUGGGGGAUAACGUAGGGAAACUUACGCUAAUACCGCAUACGACCUACGGGUGAAAGCGGAGGACCUUCGGGCUUCGCGCAGAAGAUGAGCCGACGUCGGAUUAGCUAGUUGGAGGGGUAAUCGGCCCACCAAGGCGACGAUCCGUAGCUGGUCUGAGAGGAUGAUCAGCCACACUGGGACUGAGACACGGCCCAGACUCCUACGGGAGGCAGCAGGUGGGGAAUAGUUGGAACAAGUGGGCGCGAAGCCUAGAUCCAGCCAUCGGCCGCGUGUGUCGAAGGAAGGUCCGUUGGUUAGUAAAGUCUAACGUUUUU
rnacentral:rRNA from 1 species